CUGGAUCUUCCAGAGAAAGACUAUGAAAUACUUUUCAAAUCUAUUAAUGGAAUCCUUUUCCCUGGAGGAAGUGUUGACCUCAGACGCUCAGAUUAUGCUAAAGUGGCCAAAAUAUUUUAUAACUUGUCCAUACAGAGUUUUGAUGAUGGAGACUAUUUUCCUGUGUGGGGCACAUGCCUUGGAUUUGAAGAGCUUUCACUACUGAUUAGUGGAGAGUGCUUAUUAACUGCCACAGAUACUGUUGACGUGGCAAUGCCGCUGAACUUCACUGGAGGUCAAUUGCACAGCAGAAUGUUCCAGAAUUUUCCUACUGAGUUGUUGCUGUCAUUAGCAGUAGAACCUCUGACUGCCAAUUUCCAUAAGUGGAGCCUCUCCAUGAAGGUAUACUAAUUACACAAUGAAAUUAAUAUGUUUAGAAUAACUGCAGAAGUAAUCAUUUUGUUUUAUUUUCAUAUUCUAGAAUUUUACGAUGAAUGAAAAGUUAAAGAAGUUUUUCAAUGUCUUAACUACAAAUACAGAUGGCGAGAUCGAGUUUAUUUCAACAAUGGAAGUUUUCCUGGGUAUUUUCCUGAAUGGAGUGGUGAAGAAGAAAAGUAAAAGAAUAAAGGGGCGAGGAUGAAGAAAGAAAUGAAGAAAGUGACUUCUGUUUCUAGCAAUAUUGCAGAUUAAAUACCUUGACAGACUUUCCUCCAGCCAACAACAAAAUAAAUGUGGGUGAUAGAGAAAAACAUAGUAAAUACGUUGAUGAAUUGGCAAGGAAAUAAAGAUACUCAGGUCCAAA
rnacentral:sRNA from 1 species